AAGGAAAACAAGUCUAAAUAAUGAUAGACCAUUUGAUAUUGAUUAUGCAUUUCAUCAAAGCAGCAGGAGAUCUGUUACAUAUUCAACGGGACUGUGAAUGAGAGCAGCAUGCAGGAAACACUAUCAACAAGUAGGAAAGCAGACAGCAGACAAUUGUCCUUUUAUUUCCAUCUGAACAGACAAAGAAACAGGGUGCCACUUAACAGCCAGGCUGCAACCAGUCUGUAUGUUGUUUAUGAGAGACUUCAUUUAAAAAAGAUGAUUGACAAUGUUCUUCUUUACUCAGACAAAAAUGGACCCUACGUACUUGACUGAAUGACUCCAACACUUACUGGGCUAUCACUGGUCUUUUACUGUGAUUGUCAAACU